GACGUAGGGAGCGAGCGUUGUCCGGAUUCAUUGGGCGUAAAGGGUCCGUAGGCGGCUCAGCAAGUCGGGUGUGAAAUCUCCAGGCUCAACCUGGAGGGGCCACUCGAUACUGCUGUGGCUUGAGUCCAGUAGGGGAGCAUGGAAUUCCCGGUGUAGCGGUGAAAUGCGUAGAUAUCUGGAGGAACACCGGUGGCGAAGGCGGCAUCCUGGACCGGUAUUGACGCUGAGGCGCGAAAGCCAGGGGAGCAAACGGG
rnacentral:rRNA from 1 species